CAGGAGCAGCAGAAAUCCCUCAACAGCAACAUUGUACCCAUCAGGUGCUCCUUUCAGAGGUCGCCAGAGUGAAUAAUCUGGCUCCAGCUCAGCCUAUUGCUAGCGUCCCCCUCUGUCACAUGUCCUCCUUCACUGUGGUCUUCGUCUUUUCCUUAUGCCUGACAGCUCCAUCUUCAACUCCCUUUGUCCAAUAUAUCCACUAUCUCUCCUUUGCACUUGUCCACACAAUCAGCCUGGUUUCUCUAACUUUGCCCACUCAGCCUGAGCUAUCCUUCUGAUGUACUCAUUUCUGGUUAUGUGCUUUGUGAUCACUUCCUAAGUAAAUCUUAACAUCUUCAACUCUGCUUUCUGUCAGUGCCACCGUCUCCAGACCUCCAAACAUCUUAACAGCUCUGCACUGACCGUGAUGGGUUAAGGACUUUCUAUGGUCCUGUCCAGCUGAUGGCCUGUCUCCUGGAAACAAUGUUCUUUGGACUGUGCUGGGAGACACAGUAAACAUUCUGGCUGUGACAUGUGUUAAUGUGCAAUCCACGAGGACUUGGAUUACCUGUGUUUGUUUGCUAUUUUGGCCUUAGAGACGCUGAUGUUGUUUUGCUUUCUUUUUAAUCUCUGUUGAGUUUGAAUAUAUAAUCUUAAAUGCUAAUACGCUGAUUAUAUUGGUUUAUAUAAUAGAGGCCCAACUCUUAGUACAGUUUGUGCCGACAGGACUGACAGGAAACCACAUGCUUUUGCAGGCCAAAGUUAAACUAAACAGAGUGUUUGAUCGAAACGUAAAGUGUGUGUGACGCUGAUGUUGUUUUGCUUUCUUUUUAAUCUCCUGUUUAUUUUAAUGAUGUAAGUUAAUUAUAAAUAGUUUAUUGUAAAUAAAUACUAUGAAGUAAGGGGUUUGUAACUGUAUAUGUAAACUUCUGACCACAAUUGUACAUCAGUAUUUUCUUAAGCCAAUCUCAUAUGCUGUCCAGCCCAAUCAGAAUGAGAGACCAUCUGUCAGUUUAACUGCAGCAGUCAUAAUUUUUGUGUCGGUAUCAAUGUCAUGUGUGAAUCAAUCAGUGCCUCAAACAUCCAAAUAGAGCCUUAUGUAUUGCUACAGCUCAUCAAUAUUUUGGGUAUCAAUUUGUAGGCACCAUCUUUGAGUGCUCAGAUUAAAUCAAAAUAGUGGAGUGUUUGAAAGAAUAGGGCAGAACAAGUUUUGUUUCUAUUCCCAUUAAAAAAAGAGGAUUGUUUAUCACGUUUUUGUAAA